rnacentral:pre_miRNA from 1 species
CAUAUACUCCCUCCGUCCCAAAAUUCUUGUCUUAGAUUUGUGUAGAUACGGAUGUAUCUAAUACUAAAACGUGACUUGAUACAUCCGUAUCUAGACAAUUCUAAGACAAGAAUUUUGGGACGGAGGGAGUAGAUC